CCCUUAGAUGUUCUGGGCUGCAUGCGCGCUACACUGAAGCUAUCAACACGUUUUCCCUCCCUGAGAAGGGCGGGUAACCUUUUGAAUCAGCUUCGUGGUAGGGAUCGGGGCUUGCAAUUGUUCCCCGUGAACCAGGAAUUCCUAGUAGACGCGAGUCAUAAGCUCGCAUCGAUUAAGUCCCUGCCCUUUGUACACACCGCCCGUCGCUACUACCGAUUGAAUGUUUUAGUGAGGCAUUUGGACCGACGCAUCUCAGUUUAACCGCUGGUUUGUGUUGGAAAGACUUCCAAACUUGAGCGUUUAGAGGAAGUAAAAGUCGUAACA
rnacentral:rRNA from 1 species